AAUCUGUUGAAGAGUGAGUGGGAAAACUGUGGAGAUGACUCUGACCAUCACUGUCCUCAUCUGUGUAAUGCUUCUCCUCUUCGUCUGAGGAGGAGUAGGAAGGAUCGGACCAAUGCGCAGCGUGGAUGUCGGUGGGCGGAGCCGUGAGGGUCGUCAGCGACAUGGGACACACCUGGGCCUUUCACUCAAACCCAGACCCUUUUCUUUUGUGUAACAAGCUGUCAUAUCUGUUCCGCCCGCUAGGGACGUUUUCCUUUAUGACGUAAUUUGUAAUCAAGUUAUGAUUAAUUAUGUGUAUGUUUAAUUCUGUGUGAUUAGUUAGGUAUUUCGUAAAUAAAUAAUUAAACCCAA
ensembl:lncRNA